AGUAUGUUGGCCUCUUAUUGUUGGUUUGUUUCUUUAGCUGCAAAUGUACUUAGGACUCAUGAUUUUUCUGUAACUAGAGUGCCACAAAUAAAAUACGUUUUUCAUUCAGUUGGAUAAACAGGGCAGGAAAGAAGAAAACCCGAUUUUACUAAGGUAAAUGGGCAAAAACUGGAAGAAAGGGGAGUGUGGUUUUGGAGAGGGUCCCGAUGGUAAGAUCCUGAUUGGAAGGUGUGUUGGUUAAACAAUUUCUGAACUAACCGCCAGAUGGCAUCACUGGCCAGGACUGUUUACUACCUGCUAGAAGGGGUAGGGCAAAGUGAAACGAAGCCACUCUAGGGCGAAUGGGG
rnacentral:lncRNA from 1 species